GAUGAACGCUGGCGGCGUGCCUAAUACAUGCAAGUCGAGCGAACAGACGAGGAGCUUGCUCCUCUGACGUUAGCGGCGGACGGGUGAGUAACACGUGGAUAACCUACCUAUAAGACUGGGAUAACUUCGGGAAACCGGAGCUAAUACCGGAUAAUAUAUUGAACCGCAUGGUUCAAUAGUGAAAGACGGUUUUGCUGUCACUUAUAGAUGGAUCCGCGCCGCAUUAGCUAGUUGGUAAGGUAACGGCUUACCAAGGCAACGAUGCGUAGCCGACGUGAGAGGGUGAUCGGCCACACUGGAACUGAGACACGGUCCAGACUCCUACGGGAGGCAGCAGUAGGGAAUCUUCCGCAAUGGGCGAAAGCCUGACGGAGCAACGCCGCGUGAGUGAUGAAGGUCUUCGGAUCGUAAAACUCUGUUAUUAGUGAAGAACAAAUGUGUAAGUAACUAUGCACGUCUUGACGGUACCUAAUCAGAAAGCCACGGCUAACUACGUG
rnacentral:rRNA from 1 species